CAGAGGAUUAGUCUUAAUGGACCUUAACCUUUCGUGUCUUUCUCCUCUCCUCUCCUCAGACGAUCUCUUCGUGUUCCCUCUCCUCACACAAUCUCUCUCCACGAUCUCCUCACACGGAUCUUCUCCUCUCCUCACAUGUUUUUAUCUUCCACCGCUCUCGACGAACCCCUCUCCUCAAAACCCCUUCCCACUCUUCGAUCUCACCUCAUGGCGGUGUUAUAGAUCUUCCCUCCUUUCUCGCCCAUCGUCUCUGCCAAGCUCCAAGCCGUCGUCCUCUUCAACAUCUGCGACUGCUACGUCCGCCACCCGACUCGGCCGACGGCGUGAUUGGAACCCUCCUAGGCCGAUCGCUCUCUUGCUGAGUGAUCUUCCUCGACGCCGACUUCUCUCUUCUGUGGCUUGGUUGGUUACUCAUCGGGUUCUUGCAGCUUUUUGUAAGAGUUUUCAAAAAAUGGGUUCUUCAAGUCAUGCAAAAUCAACAGCUUUGCUUUGUCUGCGACUGGGGAUAGGCUAGUGCGAAGAUAAGAGACACCUUUGAUAUGAUUCCUGCCCUUUUCCUAGUGAUUGACAAGGUUUAAACAUUAGAAGAACUUAUCUUUUUGGCAAGGGGAAGAAGGAUUGAUUCAAGAUUUUAAUUGCCUAAAUGGUUAACUUUGGGAAGAAAUUGAUGGCUAAUCGAGUUCAAGAAUGGGAGAAGUCGUUGAUCUCUUGGUGCCUUAUUAAAGGGGUGGAAAGAUUAGACUUUUUGAUGGAGUUGGUGUGGGGAAGAUUGGAUUUAUUAUGGAACUAAUGAUCAACAAUAUUGGAAAAGGUUGACAUGAAAGAAUCAACAAGUGAGAAAGAGGAGUCUAAUGAAAUCCUACAAGUUGAAGAUUGUGAUGGGGCUUGGGUUGAUAAUAAUUAAGUGCAAUCCUAUAUGACAUGAACUACCAUCACAAGUUUUUAGUCUUUUGGCUAAUGUUCAUUAGUUGUAAAUGGAGUUUAUUUGUUUAUUUGUAUUGGAAUAAAUUUUAUUUGAACAUGAGACAUGUUUCUUCUUUUGUGAUUGUAAUUCUUGUAUAAGUAACAUUUUGAAUGACAAUGA